rnacentral:rRNA from 1 species
CCUACGGGGGGCAGCAGUAGGGAAUAUUGCUCAAUGGGGGAAACCCUGAAGCAGCAACGCCGCGUGGAGGAUGACGGUUUUCGGAUUGUAAACUCCUUUUGUUAGAGCAGAUAAUGACGGUAUCUAACGAAUAAGCACCGGCUAACCGCGUGCCAGCAGCCGCGGUAAUACGGAGGGGGUAAGCGUUACUCGGAAUCACUGGGCGUAAAGAGCGAGUAGGCGGGAUAGGAAGUCAGAGGGGAAAACCUAUGGCUUAACCAUAGAACUGCAGUUGAAACUGUUGUUCUAGAGUAUGGGAGAGGUAGGUGGAAUUCUUGGUGUAGGGGUAAAAUCCGUAGAGAUCAAGAGGAAUACUCAUUGCGAAGGCGACCUGCUAGAACAUAACUGACGCUGAUGCGCGAAAGCGUGGGUAGCAAACAGGAUUAGAUACCCCAGUAGUC